CCGGAUAAUAGUCGGGAGAGUUGUAAAUGUAAACAAGUUACGUGCUUUCUUCAGUGUUUACAGAUAUGGGAAUAACUCUCAAGAGCGGCGCGUAUCUCCAACGGUUUGCGGCAAAAUUAAAUCAGAAUAUACUUAAAAUCCGUAUAUUCCACCCGUUAGAUCGGGGUUAUGCUUUUCUUCGGUGUACCCAAAGUAUUUCCCCGGGUCAAAUCCUAAUAUCUCACCAAUACCACCUUUUGAAAACACAAUGUAGAGAAAUACUUGUGUUACAAUGCUAACUCUGCCGUUUUGCAUAUUUGUAAACGACGCUUUAUCCUUUAGCCCA
rnacentral:lncRNA from 1 species